UACGGAGGUGGCAAGCGUUGUUCGGAAUCACUGGGCGUAAAGGGCGUGUAGGCGGUCAAGUAAGUGGAAUGUGAAAGCCCCCGGCUUACCCGGGGAUCUGCAUCCCAAACUGCUUGGCUUGAGUACGGGAGAGGAUAGGGGAAUUCCUGGUGUAGCGGUGAAAUGCGUAGAUAUCAGGAGGAACACCGGUGGCGAAGGCGCCUAUCUGGCCCGAUACUGACGCUGAGGCGCGAAAGCUAGGGGAGCAAACGGG
rnacentral:rRNA from 1 species